rnacentral:snoRNA from 1 species
CUGUGAUGAUACCGAUGACGAGUCUUAUCCGAGUUUUCGAUGCAGACACCAUCUUUUUUUAUACCAUUCAUGCCAAUCUGACU